GACGAACGCUGGCGGCGUGCUUAACACAUGCAAGUCGAACGGUAAGGCCCUUCGGGGUACACGAGUGGCGAACGGGUGAGUAACACGUGGGUGAUCUGCCCUGCACUUCGGGAUAAGCCUGGGAAACUGGGUCUAAUACCGGAUAGGACCACUGCCUGCAUGGGUGGUGGUGGAAAGCUUUUGCGGUGUGGGAUGGGCCCGCGGCCUAUCAGCUUAUUGGUGGGGUGAUGGCCUACCAAGGCGACGACGGGUAGCCGGCCUGAGAGGGUGACCGGCCACACUGGGACGGAGAUACGGCCCAGACUCCUACGGGAGGCAGCAGUGGGGAAUAUUGCACAAUGGGCGCAAGCCUGAUGCAGCGACGCCGCGUGAGGGAUGACGGCCUUCGGGUUGUAAACCUCUUUCAGCACCGACGAAGCGCAAGUGACGGUAGGUGCAGAAGAAGGACCGGCCAACUACGUGCCAGCCGCCGCUGUAA
rnacentral:rRNA from 1 species